rnacentral:rRNA from 1 species
UGGGGAAUUUUGGACAAUGGGGGAAACCCUGAUCCAGCCAUCCCGCGUGUGCGAUGAAGGCCUUCGGGAUGUAAAGCACUUUUGGCAGGAAAUAAACGUCAUGGGUUAAUACCCCGUGAAACUGACGGUACCUGCAGAAUAAGCACCGGCUAACUACGUGCCAGCAGCCGCGGUAAUACGUAGGGUGCAAGCGUUAAUCGGAAUUACUGGGCGUAAAGCGUGCGCAGGCGGUUCGGAAAGAAAGAUGUGAAAUCCCAGAGCUCAACUUUGGAACUGCAUUUUUAACUACCGGGCUAGAGUGUGUCAGAGGGAGGUGGAAUUCCGCGUGUAGCAGUGAAAUGCGUAGAUAUGCGGAGGAACACCGAUGGCGAAGGCAGCCUCCUGGGAUAACACUGACGCUCAUGCACGAAAGCGUGGGGAGCAAACAGG